GGGCUCGUGGCGGAAUAGGAAGACGCACUAGGUUCAGAACCUAGCGGUUGAAAGACUUUAGGGGUUCGAGGCCCCUCGAGCCCACCA
rnacentral:tRNA from 1 species